ACAGGGGCCGCCCAUGCGUGUUGGAGCAGGACAGAUCCACGGCUCUGUGAGCAGCCCUGCCUGUCUUCUCCCCUGGCAGGCGUGAGUGCUGGUCUGCACCCAGCACAUGUGUUCUGGGAGUCUCGUGCGUGGUGUCCCCUCUGCAGCGUGAAGCCCGUGAGCACCAGACGCCCACCCACAGCACGGAACUGCGGUCGCCCGGCACCUCGCAGAGCAGCCGCCGUGAGCGCCUCGCCAGCCUCCUGAUCCUGCUGAGUCUCUGGUCAGCUCCCAGCGGGCAGCAGCGGGGGUCCCGCAUUGUUCUUGCUGCUGUGCCUGCACCUAGGGCAGCCGAGAGGCAGCUCCAGGACGCCAGGCAGGGCCUGCAGGGAGGCGCUCCUCACACACGAGCCACACACGCACACCGCAGCCCCCAGCCCUGCACACAAGGCCUCUGUGGCUGCCCACGUCUGCCUUUCUGCCUCCAUCCCCUGCAUCACCUCCAAGACACAGAACACCCACAGUCACACACGGCCGUCCACACACACGGACACAGCCACACGCACCCUCACACUGGGUCACAGCCACACACACACUCACACUCACACACGGCCAUCCACACACACGGACACAGCCACACGCACCCUCACACUCACAGUCACACAAACCCCCCCUCACAGUCACACACAGCCAUCCACACACACGGACACAGCCACACGCACCCUCACACUGGGUCACAGCCACACACACACUCACACUCACACACAGCCAUCUACACACACGGACACAGCCACACACACCCUCAUACUCACAGUCACACACACACACACUCACAGUCACACACAGCCAUCCAUACACACUGACACAGCCACAUGCACCCUCACACUGGGUCACAGCCACACACACACUCACACUCACACUCACACUCACAAAUGGCCAUCCACACACACGGACACAGCCACACGCACCCUCACACUGGGUCACAGCCACACACACACUCACACACAGCCAUCCACACACACGGACACAGCCACAUGCACCCUCACACUCACAGUCACACGCACACACCCUCACAUUCAGACUCACACACAGCCAUCCACACACACUGACACAGCCACAUGCACCCUCACACUGAGUCACAGGCACACACACCGCUGCACUCACACAUGCACACCCUCACACUGGGUCAUAGGCGCACACAUGGCUGCACUCACACAUGCACACCCUCACACUGGGUCGCAGGCACUCACAUGCACACCCUCACACUGGGUCACAGGCACACACAUGCACACUCACACUGGGUCACAGGCACACACAUGCACACCCUCAGACUGGGUCACAGGCACACACAUGCACACCCUCACACUGGGUCACAGGCACACAUGCACACUCUCAAACUGGGUCACAGGCGCACACGGCUGCACUCACACAUGCACACCCUCAGACCGGGUCACAGGCACACACACCCUCAGCGAUGCUGGACGGCCUUGGGAAGGGCAGUCAGUUAACUCAGUGCACCGCAGGCUACCCUCACAGCACACCUCUGCUUUCCUCGGGAAAGUCGUCAGAGUAGAAGACUCCCCAGCUCGGAUCUGAGGCACCUGUGAGCACAUACGGGGAGAUGCUGCGAGACACCUGAGGCACAUAGCACAUGCCAGCUAAGUCUUGUCUCCAGGGGCACUCUGCUGCCCAUUUCCCAGAUGGGGACACUGAGACCCAACAGCCACGCCGUCUCUGCAUGCCGUUCAGACGAACGAAGGUUUUAAAUAGUGUAGAAUUUCCACAGGCCCUGUGCCUCCUCCCACGUACCCUCAGUCAUCCCCAGAUCCUUGCAGUGGCUGGCACAAGACAUGACACUCCUG
ensembl:lncRNA